rnacentral:rRNA from 1 species
CCCUUAGACGUUCUGGGCCGCACGCGCGCCACACUGACGAAGGCAACGAGCUACUCUUCACCGAAAGGUGUGGGUAAUCUUUUGAAACUUCGUCGUGCUGGGGAUAGAUCCUUGCAAUUUUUGAUCUUAAACGAGGAAUUCCUAGUAAGCGCAAGUCAUCAACUUGCGUUGAUUACGUCCCUGCCCUUUGUACACACCGCCCGUCGCUACUACCGAUUGAAUGGUUUAGUGAGGCCUUCGGAUCCGCGAUUUUAUUGUGGAGAAGUUGGACAAACUCAGUCAUUUAGAGGAAGUAAAAGUCGUAACA